UAAUGGAAAACUGCAUUCAAGAUAAAAGGCUUCCUAUAAACCAUUUCAAGAGGAUCAAAGCCAUAAAUCAAGUGCCGAAUCAUCUUUUAGGCUUUGUGUUUUUGAAUAGUGAUAUAUACAUAUAUUACAUUGAUGCUAUGUUCAACAAUGUUAAACGUUGAGCUUUCCGGUGUCAAGUUUAUAUGCUCAGUAAACUUUUGCUUAGCUGAUGUACUUAUGUGGGCAUCCAGGGUCAUGAAGAAAAGUGUCAAGAAGCUAGUUGACCUGACUGGAAUAACAUCUAUGUAAUGGAGUUUGGUUGUUGGUCAUCUACUGGUGCUACAGGUUGGAACUACUGCAAUAUUAUUUCAAAGUUUAUACACCAGUAACUAGCAUCUUGGGCUUUUAAUCAUCACCAGUUUACCACUUACUACAAGAGGGAUCUCAGCUUGGCUUGAAUAUUGGCAUGCUUUUGAUUAAUUGGUUUACCUUAGUAAGGACUAAGGCAGGGUGGUCCUGGAAAACCCAGCUUAUUUCAUACACAUAUUUAUACAAACUUUGUUUAUUUUUAUUUUUUAUUUUUUUGAAGAUAGAGAGAACACCUUAAUUAGGAAGCAAAGUUGAUAAAAGGAUGCAGAUGUGCUAGAGAUGAUUGCAGACAAAUUCAGCUCUUCGGUAAGUAAUUAUUAAUUUUGCAUAUAAGGUGUUCAUGCAAGCCCUUCUUGGGGGCUUCCCACCUGAACAUGUAUAUAUGUGAACUGCUUUUGGAGAAAAGGCUUAGAAUUGAACCAUGAUGUUCCGAAUGCCUUUGUUGACGGAAUAUUGUCCUUGAACAGGAAAUCUAUUAGUUUGUGCGAUAUAUUUAUUACUUUGUGCGAUAUAUUUUAUGUAUAUUAUGAAGUGUGAUCUGUUUGCGUAAAUGAGACAACUCUUAUGAGCAUGAUUUCUAUAGGAUUCUCCUAUAGUGCAUAAAAAUGCAGCAGAUACACUUUGUGCUAUAAAAUUUUUAUCUCCACCUGAACUAUCUUGUAAAAUCUCUGGCCCAAGGUAGCAAUUAUUUGAUUCUAUCUCAUCUUACAUUUACUACAAAUAUGCAUGCAUUUUGCUUUAGUUUCUGCAUUAAAAUUCAUUUGUCUAUUUUCCGCAGUUUUAUAAGAAGAUUGCUUCACCAUGCUGGAGGACUCACGACCAAAAUCUGUUCUCUUUAACUCAUUAACGGUAAGCAUCAUUUUGUUAGACUCUAGGAGGCUACCUGCUGGAACAUAUCGUGCUAUGGACGUAAAAUUACUGAUGGAUCCACAAUUAUUGCUAAUCCUGAGAUUGUUGUGGCCAUACUGGAGAGCCUAGGUAAAGUUAUUUUGUUUUGUACGUUUUUUUUAUUUUGUUUUUAAGUUGGUACAUCCUUAAGAUGCUAUGCACGCACGUCCUAUGCCUGAAGGGUAAUGUUAUUAUUUCCUCUUUCAUGGUGAUAGGACUUUGAAGGAGCAAAUGAUUUUGGUGUUUAAAGUAGGAGUAGUUCAUCUUAUAUCACGAGAAAUUAAAUACUAAUCCGCCCUUCCAUCCUCUAGGUGAUUUGCUGACUCUUUUGGAUGUUCCCAUCGGCGGACAACUUGAUGUUAACUACGGCAAGUUACUGCCGCCUCUUGGAAAGCAUGGUUUAAAGGUGUCCGCUUGUAUGGCUUCUCUAUUCCAUUCCUUAAUUUAAGAAAUGAUUUAUUUCUGCUUUAUUGUCCGUCAAUUCUCCACUGCUUUCUAAAGAGAUUCCCUUCAUAUAUUUUCUGGUAAUGGAACUUCAUUUGUUAUAUGGAAUUUCAAUUGAUAAACUAGUGCAACAUUUGCACAUUAGGCUGCUCACACUGAACUCAGAUUGUAGAGUUCAUUUCAGUGUUACUAGCAAUUGGAAGUGAAGCUGCUGAUCGAAAGAAUUGAUUCGUUUUGGAGCAGUACUAAGAACUCGGGACUUGUUUAAGUAAGUUAAAAAACUUAAUGUUUUAUGAACAGUGAACAGUGAUAUUCCCCAUUUUAUGCCAACUCCAGGUACCCAUAUAACAAAUCUCUGCAUCACCACAUAGAGAACGUAAGAGUAUCAUGUUUGGAAAGCAAUAAUGCUCCUCUUGUACGACAUCUUUUUUGUGUGUGUGAUCUUGUGGGAAAGCAACUCUGAGAAUGACUUCCAUUUGUCACUGUCCAAGUCAUUCUCAGAGUAGUAAUUCUAUUUGACAGGAAAACAGUUAGUGGACGAACUGGUACACAAAUGUCCUAUCAAAACGUAAUGCAGAGGACAAUGUCAACCGGUGGGCAUGUGCUUCCCCCGUCUCCCUUAGUGAUCCAAACCUUCUAGAAAACGCCAAGGCAAAAUAUAGAGGCUGUUGAGCAAAUCCUGUGUGGUCUCGAAUCAAAUGAUCGAAAAUCUGUUGCAGAUGGUUGGUGAGAAGGUUGUUCAUCAUCCAAGACAUCCACAGGCUUCCCAGCAAGAGGAGAACAUGGAUCCUGUGAUCAAAAGCCAAUGUUCAGACAGCAUCAGUGUUCUGAGUUGUGAUCCUUGUUAACAGAGAGUAGUGGUUCCUUUGUUACCUUUGGUGAGUGUUUGAUAUGGAACCCAGAAGAGUGCUGGGUGGUUGCCCGCAGCCUAAUGCCACCAGCUUGUCUUCCUUGUUGCCAAAUGACUGAACAAAAGCUUACCAAGUGUAGGGGGUGUGAGCUUAAACUGGAGGCAUAAAGAAACAAGAUUGAGGAGUUGGAGUGUAAACUAAAGGUUGCCAAAGAGGAUGUUGUGAAGCUCAAUAGCAAAUUGGAGAAUGAGAGAAAGGAGAAAGUUGGCGCUGAGUUCCUGCUAAAGGAGAAGGACUAUACUUUUUCCCCUGGCAUACACUUGGAAGUUCUACCUGGAGAUAAAGAUAACCAUCAGAAGCAGGCCAACACUGGAAACGAGGAUGAUUCUAUUGAUCUUAGCUUCUGUACUCUGAUGGGGGUGGUUGGGGGAAUAUAUUACAUGCUGAUAGUGAAUUAGUUAGGC